rnacentral:rRNA from 1 species
CUAGCAUAUCAAUAAGCGGAGGAAAAGAAAAUACCAAUGAUUUCCCUAGGAACGGCGAGUGAAGAGGAAAGAGCUCAAAGUUGGAACCUGUUUGGCUUAGCUAAACCGGAUUGUAAACUGUAGAAGUGUUUUCCAGACACGCCUGGUAAAAAAGUCCUUUGGAACAGGGCAUCAUAGAGGGUGAGAAUCCCGUCAUUGGCCAGAGCUGUUGUCUUUUGUGAUACAUUUUCAAAGAGUCAGGUUGUUUGGGAAUGCAGCCUAAAUUGGGUGGUAAAUCUCACCUAAAGCUAAAUAUUUGCGAGAGACCGAUAGCGAACAAGUACCGUGAGGGAAAGAUGAAAAGAACUUUGAAAAGAGAGUUAAACAGUAUGUGAAAUUGUUAAAAGGGAACCGUUUGGAGCCAGACUGGCUUAACUGUAAUCAAUCUAGGCUUCGGCCUGGAUGCACUUGCGGUUUAUGCCGGCCAACGACAGUUUAGUUUGAGGGAAAAAAUUACAUUGAAUGUGGCCCUUCGGGGCGUUAUAGCUUUGUAAAAAAUACCUUGGACUGGACUGAGGAACGCAGUGAAUGCCUUUAGGCAAGAUUGCUGGGUGCUUUCGCUAAUAAAUGCUAGAAUUUCUGCUUCGGGUGGUGCUAGUGUUUAAAGGAGGAACUCGCCUAGUAUAUUUUUUAUUCGCUUAGGUUGUUGGCUUAAUGACUCUAAAUGACCCGUCUUGAAACACGGACCAAGGAGUCCACCAUUAGUGCAAGUAUUUGGGUGACAAACCCAUAUGCGCAAGGAAACUGAUUGAUACGAAGGCGCAAGCUGGCAGUAUCACCCGGCGUUGACGUUUUAUACUGAACUGACCGAGGUAAAGCACUAAUGAUGGGACCCGAAAGAUGGUGAACUAUGCCUGAAUAGGGUGAAGCUGGAGGAA